rnacentral:rRNA from 1 species
AGGAUGAACGCUGGCGGCGUGCCUAAUACAUGCAAGUCGAGCGAACAGAUAAGGAGCUUGCUCCUUUGAAGUUAGCGGCGGACGGGUGAGUAACACGUGGGUAACCUACCUAUAAGACUGGGAUAACUUCGGGAAACCGGAGGUAAUACCGGAUAACAUUUAGAACCGCAUGGUUCUAAAGUGAAAGAUGGUUUUGCUAUCACUUAUAGAUGGACCCGCGCCGUAUUAGCUAGUUGGUAAGGUAACGGCUUACCAAGGCGACGAUACGUAGCCGACCUGAGAGGGUGAUCGGCCACACUGGAACUGAGACACGGUCCAGACUCCUACGGGAGGCAGCAGUAGGGAAUCUUCCGCAAUGGGCGAAAGCCUGACGGAGCAACGCCGCGUGAGUGAUGAAGGGUUUCAGCUCGUAAAACUCUGAUAUUAGGGAACAAAAAAUGUGUAAGUAACUGUGCACAUCUUGACGGUACCUAAUCAGAAAGCCACGGCUAACUACGUGCCAGCAGCCGCGGUAAUACGUAGGUGGCAAGCGUUAUCCGGAAUUAUUGGGCGUAAAGCGCGCGUAGGCGGUUUCUUAAGUCUGAUGUGAAAGCCCACGGCUCAACCGUGGAGGGUCAUUGGAAACUGGGAAACUUGAGUGCAGAAGAGGAAAGUGGAAUUCCAUGUGUAGCGGUGAAAUGCGCAGAGAUAUGGAGGAACACCAGUGGCGAAGGCGACUUUCUGGUCUGUAACUGACGCUGAUGUGCGAAAGCGUGGCGAUCAAACAGGAUUAGAUACCCUGGUAGUCCACGCCGUAAACGAUGCGUGCUAAGUGUUAGGGGGUUUCCGCCCCUUAGUGCUGCAGCUAACGCAUUAAGCACUCCGCCUGGGGAGUACGACCGCAAGGUUGAAACUCAAAGGAAUUGACGGGGACCCGCACAAGCGUGGAGCAUGUGGUUUAAUUCGAAGCAACGCGAAGAACCUUACCAAAUCUUGACUUCCUUUGAAAACUCUAGAGAUA